GUAUAAGUUAGAAAGGGCGCACGGUGAAUGCCUUGGCACUAGGAGCCGAUGAAGGACGCGACGAACCGCGAUAGGCUUCGGGGAGC
rnacentral:rRNA from 1 species